rnacentral:rRNA from 1 species
UACGUAGGUGGCGAGCGUUGUCCGGAUUUAUUGGGCGUAAAGCGCGCGCAGGCGGUUGACUAAGUCUGGUGUGAAAUUUCCCGGCUUAACUGGGAAGGGUCAUUGGAUACUGGUCAGCUUGAGGAAGGUAGAGGAGAGUGGAAUUCCCGGUGUAGUGGUGGAAUGCGUAGAUAUCGGGAGGAACACCAGUGGCGAAAGCGGCUCUCUGGGCCUUUCCUGACGCUGAGGCGCGAAAGCGUGGGGAGCGAACCGG